UGCAUUUGUAGCUCAUGAGGAUGAGAACCUCCGGGGGGCGGGGAGGUUCGACUCGAGCGAAGCGAGAGAACGUUGCGCCAGC
rnacentral:sRNA from 1 species